UUGAAUAUUGUGGCUAUUGGUGUAAUUUUAUUCAUAAAAUUACUUAAAAGGGAAGCUCGGUGAAAUUCCGACACGGUCCCGCCACUGUAAUGGAUAGAACUUUACAGAUACCACUGUACAAUAUGUAUGGGAAGGUGUAAGGUUUGUCAUUCCUAAGUCAGGAGACCUGCCAAUGGUAACAGCGCUGU
rnacentral:ncRNA from 2 species